rnacentral:misc_RNA from 1 species
ACUCAAAAAGUAGUUAUCAGAUCUCGAUAAAAUUUAUAUGUGACCACAUGAUAAACAUCAGCUUUCGAUUAAAUUAAAAAUUAUCAAAAUCGGUACACCCAGUAAAAACUAAUUACGGAUUUUCGAGAGUUUCCCUCGAUUUCUCUGGGAUCUCAUCAUCAGAUCCUGGUUUCCUUAUCACGGUACCGAACUAGGGAUAUCCCCUUUCCAACAAAAAAAGAAUUAUCAAAAUCGGUAUAUCCAGUAGAAAGUUAUGUGGUAUAAUACAACGUAGGUCGACGAAAAAAGCGUCACGUAAAAACGCA